rnacentral:misc_RNA from 1 species
GAUGAAGAACGCAGUGAAAUGCGAUAAGUAGUGUGAAUUGCAGAAUUCAGUGAAUCAUCGAAUCUUUGAACGCACAUUGCGCCCGCCAGUAUUCUGGCGGGCAUGCCUGUUCGAGCGUCAUUUCAACCAUCAAGCCCCCGGGCUUGCGUUGGGGCCCUGCGGCUGCCGCAGGCCCCUAAAAGCAGUGGCGGGCUCGCUGUCACACCGAGCGCAGUAGCGAUAUUCGCUCCGGGCGUCGGCGGCGGGCACCGGCCGUGAAACCCCCCAUUUCUCAAGGUUGACCUCGGAUCAGGUAGGAAUACCCGCUGAACUUAAGCAUAUCAAUAAGCGGAGGA